rnacentral:rRNA from 1 species
UACGAAGGGGGCUAGCGUUGCUCGGAAUCACUGGGCGUAAAGGGUGCGUAGGCGGGUCUUUAAGUCAGGGGGGAAAUCCUGGAGCUCAACUCCAGAACUGCCUUUGAUACUGAAGAUCUUGAGUUCGGGAGAGGUGAGUGGAACUGCGAGUGUAGAGGUGAAACUCGUAGAUAUUCGGAAGAACACCAGUGGCGAAGGCGGCUCACUGGUCCGGUACUGACGCUGAGGUGCGAAAGCGUGGGGAGCAAACAGG